AGCGAACGCUGGCGGCAGGCUUAACACAUGCAAGUCGAACGCCCCGCAAGGGGAGUGGCAGACGGGUGAGUAACACGUGGGAACGUACCCUUUGGUUCGGAAUAACUUGGGGAAACUCAAGCUAAUAACGGAUAAGCCCUUAUGGGGAAAGGUGUACUGCCGAAGGAUCGGCCCGCGUCUGAUUAGCUAGUUGGUGAGGUAAUGGCUCACCAAGGCGACGAUCAGUAGCUGGUCUGAGAGGAUGAGCAGCCACACUGGGACUGAGACACGGCCCAGACUCCUGCGGGAGGCAGCAGUGGGGAAUAUUGGACAAUGGGGGCAACCCUGAUCCAGCCAUGCCGCGUGAGUGAUGAAGGCCGUAGGGUUGUAAAGCUCUUUUACCCGGGACGAUAAUGACUGUACCGGGAGAAUAAGCCCCGGCUAACUUCGUGCCAGCCGCCGCUGUAACAC
rnacentral:rRNA from 1 species